ACAUGCAGAGAACUUCCAGAGAUGGAUUGGUGCCUUCGGAACUCUGACACAGGUGCUGCAUGGCUGUCGUCAGCUCGUGUCGUGAGAUGUUGGGUUAAGUCCCGUAACGAGCGCAACCCUUAUCCUUAGUUACCAGCACGUAAAGGUGGGGACGUCUAGGGAGACCGCCGGGGACGACUCGGAGGAAGGUGGGGACGACGUCAAAUCAUCAUGCCCCUUAUGUCUUGGGCUACACACGUGCUACAAUGGCCGCAACAGAGGGAAGCGAGAGCGCAAGCUGGAGCAAAACCCUAAAAAGCGGUCCCAGUUCGGAUUGUGGGCUGCAACCCGCCCACAUGAAGUCGGAGUUGUUAGUAAUCGCGAAUCAGCAUGUCGCGGUGAAUGCGUUCCCGGGCCUU
rnacentral:rRNA from 1 species